GCAUGUGUGUUAGUGGAAGCGUCUGGAAAGGCGCACGGUACAGGGUGAAAGUCCCGUACACAAAAAUGCAGAUGCUGUGAACUCGAAGAGUAGGGCGGGACACGUGUUAUCCUGUCUGAAUAUGGGGGGACCAUCCUCCAAGGCUAAAUACUCCUGACUGACCGAUAGUGAACCAGUACCGUGAGGGAAAGGCGAAAAGAACCCCGGCGAGGGGAGUGAAAAAGAACCUGAAACCGUGUACGUACAAGCAGUGGGAGCCCCACCACCAAAGCGUUUCGCUUUGUGUGGUGCACAAAGAAGCGUAACGACAGCACUGAAUGACGGUUAACGGCGCGUAAGCGACGUUCAACACAAAAAUCAGGCAGUGGAGCGCUUUGGGGUGGGGUGACUGCGUACCUUUUGUAUAAUGGGUCAGCGACUUAUAUUCUGUAGCAAGGUUAACCGUAUAGGGGAGCCGCAGGGAAACCGAGUCUUAACUGGGCGUUAAGUUGCAGGGUAUAGACCCGAAACCCGGUGAUCUAGCCAUGGGCAGGUUGAAGGUUGGGUAACA
rnacentral:rRNA from 1 species